rnacentral:rRNA from 1 species
GACGAACCUGACGAACGUUAUUCGGAAUUACUGGGCUUAAAGGGUGCGUAGGCUGUGCAGAAAGUUGGGUGUGAAAUCCCUCGGCUUAACCGAGGAACUGCGCCCAAAACUACUGUGCUUGAGGGAGAUAGAGGUGAGCGGAACUCAGGGUGGAGCGGUGAAAUGCGUUGAUAUCCUGGGGAACACCUGUGGCGAAAGCGGCUCACUGGGUCUCUUCUGACGCUGAUGCACGAAAGCUAGGGGAGCAAACGGG